rnacentral:rRNA from 1 species
UACGAAGGGGGCUAGCGUUGCUCGGAAUUACUGGGCGUAAAGCGUGCGCAGGCGGUUGUGCAAGACCGAUGUGAAAUCCCCGGGCUUAACCUGGGAAUGGCAUUGGUGACUGUACGGCUAGAGUGUGUCAGAGGGGGGUAGAAUUCCACGUGUAGCAGUGAAAUGCGUAGAGAUGUGGAGGAAUACCGAUGGCGAAGGCAGCCCCCUGGGAUAACACUGACGCUCAUGCACGAAAGCGUGGGGAGCAAACAGG